rnacentral:rRNA from 1 species
GUCGAGCGGGGAAGGUAGCUUGCUACUGGACCUAGCGGCGGACGGGUGAGUAAUGCUUAGGAAUCUGCCUAUUGGUGGGGGACAACAUCUCGAAAGGGAUGCUAAUACCGCAUACGUCCUACGGGAGAAAGCAGGGGAUCUUCGGACCUUGCGCUAAUAGAUGAGCCUAAGUCGGAUUAGCUAGUUGGUGGGGUAAAGGCCUACCAAGGCGACGAUCUGUAGCGGGUCUGAGAGGAUGAUCCGCCACACUGGGACUGAGACACGGCCCAGACUCCUACGGGAGGCAGCAGUGGGGAAUAUUGGACAAUGGGCGCAAGCCUGAUCCAGCCAUGCCGCGUGUGUGAAGAAGGCCUUAUGGUUGUAAAGCACUUUAAGCGAGGAGGAGGCUACUUUAGAUAAUACCUAGAGAUAGUGGACGUUACUCGCAGAAUAAGCACCGGCUAACUCUGUGCCAGCAGCCGCGGUAAUACAGAGGGUGCAAGCGUUAAUCGGAUUUACUGGGCGUAAAGCGCGCGUAGGCGGCUAAUUAAGUCAAAUGUGAAAUCCCCGAGCUUAACUUGGGAAUUGCAUUCGAUACUGGUUAGCUAGAGUGUGGGAGAGGAUGGUAGAAUUCCAGGUGUAGCGGUGAAAUGCGUAGAGAUCUGGAGGAAUACCGAUGGCGAAGGCAGCCAUCUGGCCUAACACUGACGCUGAGGUGCGAAAGCAUGGGGAGCAAACAGGAUUAGAUACCCUGGUAGUCCAUGCCGUAAACGAUGUCUACUAGCCGUUGGGGCCUUUGAGGCUUUAGUGGCGCAGCUAAC